CAUCAACGUUUAGGCCACCCAUCUUUUGUUGUUAUGAGAAAACAAUUACUACAUUUGUUUACUUCAUUUUCUUCUCAUGUUUUUCAAUGUGAACCAUGUAUUUUUGCUAAACAUUGUCGUUCCUCUUAUCCCUAUCAUGGUAAUUGAUGUGCAGUUCCC